rnacentral:rRNA from 1 species
CAGCCGCCACGGGAAUACGAAGGGUGCGAGCGUUGUUCGGAAUUACUGGGCGUAAAGGGUUUGUAGGCUGAAAUGUAAGUCAAGUGUGAAAUCCCCGAGCUAAACUUGGGACGUGCAUUUGAAACUGUGUUUCUUGAGUAUCGUAGAGGGUGGUGGAAUUGUAGGUGUAGGAGUGACAUCCGUAGAGAUCUGCAGGAACAUCAGAGGCGAAGGCGACCACCUGGCCGAUUACUGACGCUGAGGAACGAAAGCGUGGGGAGCAAACAGGAUUAGAUACCCGCGUAGUCCCUGUCUCUUAUAA